rnacentral:pre_miRNA from 1 species
UCCAAUGCUUUAUGCUUCCUUUUGCUACUUCUACUGGAACUUGUUUGCCUUUAUUACACCAGGCAGAAAAGCUCCAGUGGAAGUAGCAAGGGGAAGCUGGCAUUGGU